GGUCAGGACGGAGCCAAAGGAGAGCGAGGGGAGGACGGAGAACCCGGAGAGGCCGGAUCUCCGGGACCGACGGGGGAGAGCGGCCCCCCCGGAGCCCUCGGGAAACGGGGUCUGGCCGGGUCCCGCGGCCCCGAGGGGCGCCAGGGAGAGAAAGGAGCCAAAGUGG